GACGUAGGGCGCGAGCGUUGUCCGGAAUCAUUGGGCGUAAAGAGCGUGUAGGCGGCUUGUCGCGUCGACUGUGAAAACCCGUGGCUCAACCAUGUGGUCUGCAGUCGAUACGGGCAGGCUAGAAUUCGGUAGGGGAGACUGGAAUUCCUGGUGUAGCGGUGAAAUGCGCAGAUAUCAGGAGGAACACCGGUGGCGAAGGCGGGUCUCUGGGCCGAUAUUGACGCUGAGGAGCGAAAGCGUGGGGAGCGAACAGG
rnacentral:rRNA from 1 species